rnacentral:rRNA from 1 species
AUGUUUCUUUUUCUUUUUCGGAGUUCCAAGUUUUCCGCAUUAUCUCGUCGCGAAGCUCCAUCUAAAUCAUUGCAAGGUUUCACCUUGUGUUUUCAACUUCUUUUUCUUUUCAUCAUCCUUUUAUUACCGGAGUUCUUCAUGGAGGCUUUACAUGGUGGUUCAUCAAGGAUUCCUUUCAUUCUUCAAUUGUUCUUCAAGAUUUCUCUCAAAGUUAUGACCCGCCAAGCUAUACUCAAAAGUAAACAUGGUGCUCAACACAUGUUUUGUUUUAAGGAGUUCAAGCAUUCUUCAUCUUGCAUUCCGAAGUGCAAUUCUUUUUACCUUAUCAUUUGA